rnacentral:rRNA from 1 species
UGGGGAAUAUUGGACAAUGGGCGGAAGCCUGAUCCAGCAACGCCGCGUGAGGGAUGACGGCCUUCGGGUUGUAAACCUCUUUCAGUACCGACGAAGCGAAAGUGACGGUAGGUACAGAAGAAGCACCGGCCAACUACGUGCCAGCAGCCGCGGUAAUACGUAGGGUGCGAGCGUUGUCCGGAAUUAUUGGGCGUAAAGGGCUCGUAGGCGGUUUGUCGCGUCGGGAGUGAAAACACUGGGCUUAACUCAGUGCUUGCUUCCGAUACGGGCAGACUAGAGGUAUGCAGGGGAGAACGGAAUUCCUGGUGUAGCGGUGAUAUGCGCAGAUAUCAGGAGGAACACCGGUGGCGAAGGCGGUUCUCUGGGCAUUACCUGACGCUGAGGAGCGAAAGUGUGGGGAGCGAACAGG